CCUACGGGAGGCAGCAGUGAGGAAUAUUGGUCAAUGGACGAGAGUCUGAACCAGCCAAGUAGCGUGAAGGAUGACUGCCCUAUGGGUUGUAAACUUCUUUUAUAUGGGAAUAAAAUGUUCCCCGUGUGGGAUUUUGUAUGUACCAUAUGAAUAAGGAUCGGCUAACUCCGUGCCAGCAGCCGCGGUAAUACGGAGGAUCCGAGCGUUAUCCGGAUUUAUUGGGUUUAAAGGGAGCGUAGGUGGAUUGUUAAGUCAGUUGUGAAAGUUUGCGGCUCAACCGUAAAAUUGCAGUUGAAACUGGCAGUCUUGAGUACAGUAGAGGUGGGCGGAAUUCGUGGUGUAGCGGUGAAAUGCUUAGAUAUCACGAAGAACUCCGAUUGCGAAGGCAGUUCACUGGACUGCAACUGACACUGAGGCUCGAAAGUGUGGGUAUCAAACAGGAUUAGAUACCCCUGUAGUC
rnacentral:rRNA from 1 species